CACACCUGUACACACACCUGAACACACACCUAAACACACACCUGAACACACAACAGAACACACACCUGUACACACAUCUGAACACACACCUGAACACACACCUGUCAUCGCAACAAAUACACCUCAACAUGAAGCACAAAUACUGGUCCCCACACACACACCUUUAGACAUACCUGUCUACAAACACUCACCUCUCCACAAACACACAUCUGUCCACACACACUCACCUGUCCACAAACACACAUCUGUCAACACACACUCACCUGUCCACAAACACACGUCUGUCCGAACACACUCACCUGUCCACACACACACACCUGUCCCACACACACACAGGAGAGGAAGAGAGGACUCACCAGGGGGCGAUGAGGUCAUCUCUGCUGGAGGAGGAGGAGGGGAUGAGGAAGGUGGUGACGAAGAGGAGGAAGAAGAAGAUGGGGGCAGGGCAGUUCCUGAUGAUGAUGUCCUCAGCCACCAGAUAUUCAUCAUCAUCAUCAUCAUCAUCAUCAUCGUCAUCAUCAUCGUCAUCGGAACAGGAGGGAGGAGGAGGAGGAGGAGGAGGAGGUCAGCAUUGGCUCCAGUUCUGGCUCCUUAUCUCCAAUUGGUCCCCGUACACACUCUGUCACCAGCGAGCUGACCAAUGACAGCCCUUCACUCCCUGACCUCCUGAUACAGGAGGAGGAAGAAAGACAGGUGGACAGAGAGGAGGACAGACAGGUGGGCAGACAGGGGGACAGACAGGAGGACAGACAGGUGGACGGACAGGUUGACAGACAGGUGGACGGACAGGUGGGCGGACAGGUGGACAGACAGGUGGACAGACAGGAGGACAGACAGGGGGACAGACAGUGGGGACAGACAGGUGGACAGACAGGUGGGCAGACAGGGGGGACAGACAGGUGGACGGACAGGUGGACAGACAGGUGUUGGAGCCGAGAGGAUCGCACCGGGGACAACGGUGUGUUCGUUCGAGUCUCCGCUGACCAGAUGAUAUCUGGUCAAACAAGAAGCACAGAGGACCUGUUUGCUAUCAUACACAGUGCAUUCUGGGAGAGCAGGACCUGAUUGGUCUACAGGUCCAAGAAGAAGAUGUUGGGGAGGAGAGUGUCGGACCACGCCCUCCCCGCCCCGCGACCUCUCCCCUCCGGAGGUCAAAGGUCACUGAGCAGCUUCAAGGCCCUCCUGCUGAGGACCGGGAGUCCGGCCGGCCCCCUCCUCCCGGCUCUCCGCCAUGGAGCGGCUCUGCCUCUCGCCCUGCACCUCCUUCUCCGCCCCCCCCCCGGCCCCAGACCCAGCCCCGUCUGCUCGGUCUCUGCUCAGCCCCUCCCCUCUGUUCCCCCUUCCUCCCUCCGCCCACUGGGGGGCGCGGCCUGCUUAUGGCUCCGCCCCUCCGAGCUCCUCCAGUGGACGCUUUGCUGCUCGAUGCCCCGCCUCCCCGCUGGCCUCAAUCUUGGAGGAGGAGGAGGAGGAGGAGGAGGAGGAGGAGGCGGAGGAGGAGGAGGAGGAGGAGGAGGAGGAGGAGGAGACGCAGGAGAAGGAGGAGGAGGAGGAGGAGGAGCCAUGUCCGUCCUUGGCAGCCCAGCGAUUGGUUGACGAACAGCCGGAUUGCAGGAUGGGGUCUUUGGGGUCUUUGAGGUCUUUGGGGUCUUUGGGGUCUUUGGAGUCCUUGAGGUCUUUGGGGUCCUUGAGGUCUUUGGUACGGCCGGCACAGCUGCUGUCCCUCCCCCUCAUGGAGUCCAGCAUGUAGAAAGGACCAGGAGAGUCCAGACCAGUAAGAGAUAGACCAGUAGAGUCCAGACCAGUAAGAGAUAGACCAGGAGAGUCCAGACCAGUAAGAGAUAGACCAGGAGAGUCAAGACCAGUAAUAGAUAGACCAGUAAGAGAUAGACCAGUAAGAGAUAGACCAGGAGAGUCCAGACCAGUAAGAGAUAGACCAGUAAGAGAUAGACCAGUAGAGUCCAGACCAGUAAGAGAUAGACCAGGAGAGUCAAGAACAGUAAGAGAUAGACCAGGAGAGUCAAGAACAGUAAGAGAUAGACCAGUAAGAGAUAAACCAGUAAGAGAUAGACCAGUAGAGUCCAGACCAGUAAGAGAUAGACCAGAAAGAGAUAGACCAGUAGAGUCCAGACCAGUAAGAGACCAGACCAGGAGAGACCAGACCAGUAAGAGAUAGACCAGAGUCCAGACCAGUAGGGUGGAGGCCGUCUGUGGACUGAUGAUGUACAGAUGAACUGACGCAGUGGUUGGCUUUGGGGGCCAUCACACCACCGCCAGGAGCCACAUGAGAGCCUGCCGCGCAGCCUGCUAGCUUAGAGAGCUGGGUUAGAGAGCUAGGUUAGAGAGCUAGGUUAGCUUGCUAGGUGAGAGAGCUAGGUGAGAGAGCUAGGUGAGAGAGCUAGGUGAGCGCAUCUUAAGGAGCAGGUCAAAGUUCCAUGUUUCUGAGGAGGACCUCAUAAAGACACAUCUUUGAGUCUCUGCAUGUAUCGGACGUGACAUUUGAAUGAAGAAACAAACCCAACUCUGUCCCCACUGAAGCAGAAGUUCGACUCGUGCCGUCAAAAAACAUUCUUUAGAAUGAUUAGCUAGUAGCUUAGUUUAGCUUGUCGCAUUAGCAAGCAGCGCCAAUAAAGGGAACCAUUUUCAGAGAA